rnacentral:rRNA from 1 species
UACGAAGGGGGCUAGCGUUGUUCGGAUUUACUGGGCGUAAAGCGCACGUAGGCGGGUCGUUAAGUCAGGGGUGAAAUCCCGGAGCUCAACUCCGGAACUGCCUUUGAUACUGGGGAUCUUGAGUCCGGAAGAGGUGAGUGGAACUCCGAGUGUAGAGGUGAAAUUCGUAGAUAUUCGCAAGAACGCCAGUGGCGAAGGCGGCUCACUGGCCCGGUACUGACGCUGAGGUGCGAAAGCGUGGGGAGCAAACAGG